UACGAAGGGGGCUAGCGUUGCUCGGAAUUACUGGGCGUAAAGCGCACGUAGGCGGCUUUGUAAGUUAGAGGUGAAAGCCCGGGGCUCAACUCCGGAAUUGCCUUUAAGACUGCAUCGCUAGAAUUGUGGAGAGGUAGGUGGAAUUCCGAGUGUAGAGGUGAAAUUCGUAGAUAUUCGGAAGAACACCAGUGGCGAAGGCGACUUACUGGACACAUAUUGACGCUGAUGUGCGAAAGCGUGGGGAGCAAACAGG
rnacentral:rRNA from 1 species